rnacentral:lncRNA from 1 species
GUGUACAAACUCCAUAAGGUUCCUGAGAAACACCUUUCUCAGGGAGAAAGGGAGGGAUGUUACCCUGCUGGUCCUUACACUAUAUUUACUUUAUGUUAUUAGCUAUUUACAACAUCUGACAAUUAGCAAAACUGACUCCCACUAAAGGGAAAGUCUGUACAAAGGAAAUGUCAUGCUUUCAGUGGCAAAUUCAUUGGUGACUAUUUUUGUCUUAUGAUGAUUUCCAUUACCUCUCAUUUGCAGAGAAAUCAAUAAUAAUAACUGGAUAAUGAGGAUCCUCCCAUCUCAAAAUGCAAUUGACUGAUUGAACAAGUGAGUGACCCCUACCAGUCAGUCCUUUAGAGAAAAAUGUGUCUGUCUCAUUGGAAUGUUCUAGCAUUGUUCAUCAUUGUGGUGGCUUGCAGUUAAUGGAAACAAGGAAUUUCUAAAUAAGUCUUUCUAUUGCACAAUUUGAAAAAUUACUUUUGGAAAUUCAAUGCCAGAUAGACAAAUUGUCUUAAACAUGUUUUUAACCACUCAAAAUUAUGUUGUAAUUCUACAUUUUUUUUUCUAAUUCUCAUAUUGUGAGAGGCAGGGAACAGGAAAGUCUUUGGAUGAAAAAAAGUAACAAUUAUUUUUCCAUUUGUUCUUCCAGAAUAUUUGUGCCUCUCAUUCAGUUAAGUUUUCCCUACUACUUUCUAUCUCUUCUUCUCCCAUCUUCUGUUUCCUGUUUCAUGCCUGAGAUGUCAAAUCUGCUUCUUCCCUCUAUACACUGGCAUCUUCUAUUUCUCCAGAACAGCCAAAAGCUGUCAGCUCUUUUUACAGCUAUUGUUUUUUCACUGCCAUUAUUUAACAGACCAGUCACCAUAUUACAGUGAUGAAGCUCCCAUGAUGCCUUGAGAAAUCCAUCUGCCAUUUGUCACACCUUCCACUUGAAUCUACCUUUGGAUAAGUCUGGUCGAC